AUGAAUCUUAAUAAUAAUGGGACUAGAGAUGAGUCAACUUUAGUUAGAAGGCAUCCCAAUAAUUUGGAGUUUUUAGAUCUUGAUGCUAAAUUUGGUAAAAGUGGGAUUCGAGAGGUCAUGACUUUAAAUAGCAUUGAACCCACUAUCUCGGAUUUCAAGGAAUUUGAUUAUGAUAAUUGUUCUUUAGAAGGUUGUAUUUCCUUGUUGCAAUCCGUUGUUAAUUCUCCUCAUGCUUAUAGUCAAAAUAAAGCUUUUACCAAACAUAUCGUUGAUGCCUUGAUGCAAUCUUAUGAUGAAAACUUAAUUUGGAAGUUUCUAUACCUAGAAAACUUAAUGAUGAGUGGGAACCUACUAUAA
rnacentral:rRNA from 1 species